rnacentral:rRNA from 1 species
UGGGGAAUAUUGGACAAUGGGCGAAAGCCUGAUCCAGCAAUACCGCGUGUGUGAAGAAGGCCUGAGGGUUGUAAAGCACUUUCAGUAGGGAGGAGGAUAUUCUGUUUAAGAGAUGGGAUAUUGGACGUUACCUACAGAAGAAGCACCGGCUAACUCCGUGCCAGCAGCCGCGGUAAUACGGAGGGUGCAAGCGUUAAUCGGAAUUACUGGGCGUAAAGCGCACGUAGGUGGUUGAAUAAGUUGGCUGUGAAAGCCCCGGGCUUAACCUGGGAAAGCCAGCCAAAACUGUUUAACUGGAGUACAGUAGAGGGGUGUAGAAUUUCCGGUGUAGCGGUGAAAUGCGUAGAGAUCGGAAGGAACACCAGUGGCGAAGGCGACACCCUGGACUGAUACUGACACUGAGGAGCGAAAGCGUGGGUAGCAAACAGGAUUAGAUACCCCCGUAGUCC